UGCACUAUGAUGUUCGAGGUUAGGUGGUCGUAAUUAAGGAUAUGACAGGGUCCACGCAGGGGGUCUUUUUUGUGGGCAGUGUAACUGCAUGUUCUGAUGGAACGUGAGGAUAUGAGAAACCAGCAGUAUAAUUGGUUAUGAAGUGAUAAGGAACUUGCAGCUUAAGCAGAUCUUAUUUCUCAGUACACACUUAGCAGCUUAGAAAGGCUGUAGGCGGACUGAUGUUAAUGGAUCUAUCAAGAGUACAGGCGCUGCAGUUCCUGGUCAUAUCUCGCUUUUUUCUGAUACAUUGAACGAGUAUGUUAGAAAAUAGGAUAGUAUGCACUCUUGCUUAUGCUCUUCUCAACUUUGUUAUUGUGAUUUCAGUGAAGCAUGUCGACCAGAAAUUCCACUAAAUCAUAUCCGGAUGUAGUGUCUGACGUCAAAGAAGCAGGAAGCGAAGUGUCUGAAGGUAGUUGGCAAUUGGACAAGGCGCACAUGAAUUGCCUGUGGCUGGCUGCUAGCAGCUUGUGGAAUUUGAGGAGAAUCUGUGCACCAGCAUCCGACUCCUUGAUGUUGCUCUGAUCAUAUUAUGUAAAUAUAUUUCUAAUAAAGCAAUUGCCCGAUGGUGUACAUGUUAGAAAUAACAAGAUGUAACCAUCAAGUGUGAGAGAUGGCAACAUCAUGAUGGGAUGGUAUGUACUGUUGUGCUCAUCAAUAGGGGGAGCUCAAGGUCAUGGCGGGGCUUCGAUUUUUCUUGUAGAAAAGAGAGACAUAGGAGGAUCCAGGGAGGAGGAGAGGUAGGAGAAGAAGGACGGGGAAGUAGGAAGGGUGCAGUAGGGGUGAGUGUGCUUCCGCCUGCCAUGCCCAAGGCUUGAUCUGCCGCCGACUCUCCUCUGCCCAUGCUGUCUGUGACACGUCAGAUCCCCAGCUGCCGGCACUUCUCCUCUGCCCAUGGGCCAUGGCUGUUCUGAUGCAUCAAAUCCACUGCAGAUCGAUUUGCUGUAACAUUGGCUGGGUGUUCUCUUCUCGACUCUACCAACACUCUGGAGUUACAAGCAAUUACAUCAGGAGCUCGGUCAAAAAUCACCUAAGGAAAAUAUGUUGUUCUUCUCUACAAGGGUUGCAUGUGGAAUUUGAGGAGAAUCUGUGCACCAGCAUCCGACUCCUUGAUGUUGCUCUGAUCAUAUUGUGUAAAUAUAUUUCUAAUAAAGCAAUCGCCCGUGUACAUGUUAGAAAUAACAAGAUGUAAUCAUCAAGUGUGAGAGA